GACGAACGCUGGCGGUAUGCCUAAUACAUGCAAGUCGAGCGAACAGAUGAAGUGCUUGCACUUCUGACGUUAGCGGCAAACGGGUGAGUAACACGUAAGGAAUCUACCUAUAAGCGGGGGAUAACAUUCGGAAACGGGUGCUAAUACCGCAUAAUAUUUUCUUCCGCAUGGAAGAAAAUUGAAAGACGGCUCUGCUGUCACUUAUAGAUGACCUUGCGGUGCGUUAGUUAGUUGGUGGGGUAACGGCCUACCAAGACGAUGAUGCAUAGCCGACCUGAGAGGGUGCUCGGCCACAUUGGGACUGAGACACGGCCCAAACUCCUACGGGAGGCAGCAGUAGGGAAUCUUCCGCAAUGGGCGAAAGCCUGACGGAGCAAUGCCGCGUGAGUGAAGAAGGCCUUCGGGUCGUAAAACUCUGUUAUAAGAGAAGAACAAAUUGUAGAGUAACUGCUACAGUCUUGACGGUAUCUUAUCAGAAAGCCACGGCUAACUACGUGCCAGCCGCCGCGGUAA
rnacentral:rRNA from 1 species